UACGUAGGGUGCGAGCGUUGUCCGGAAUUAUUGGGCGUAAAGAGCUCGUAGGCGGUCUGUCGCGUCGAAUGUGAAAACCCGGGGCUCAACUCCGGGCUUGCAUUCGAUACGGGCAGGCUAGAGUUCGGUAGGGGAGGCUGGAAUUCCUGGUGUAGCGGUGAAAUGCGCAGAUAUCAGGAGGAACACCGGUGGCGAAGGCGGGACUCUGGGCCGAUACUGACGCUGAGGAGCGAAAGCGUGGGGAGCGAACAGG
rnacentral:rRNA from 1 species